rnacentral:rRNA from 1 species
GACGAACGCUGGCGGCGCGCCUAACACAUGCAAGUCGAACGAGCGAGAGAGAGCUUGCUUUCUCGAGCGAGUGGCGAACGGGUGAGUAACGCGUGAGGAACCUGCCUCAAAGAGGGGGACAACAGUUGGAAACGACGGCUAAUACCGCAUAAGCCCACGACCCGCCCUCGGGUAGAGGGAAAAGGAGCAAUCCGCUUUGAGAUGGCCUCGCGUCCGAUUCGCUAGUUGGUGAGGUAACGGCCCACCAAGGCGACGAUCGGUAGCCGGACUGAGAGGUUGAACGGCCACACUGGGACUGAGCCACGGCCCAGACUCCUACGGGAGGCAGCAGUGGGGAAUAGUGCACAAUGGCGUGAACGCUGAUGCAGCGACGCCGCGUGGAGGAAGAAGGUCUUCGGAUUGUAAUCUCCUGUUGUUGAGGAAGAUAAUGACGGUACUCAACAAGGAAGUGACGGCUAACUACGUG